rnacentral:rRNA from 1 species
UACGAAGGGUGCAAGCGUUACUCGGAAUUACUGGGCGUAAAGCGUGCGUAGGUGGUUCGUUAAGUCUGUCGUGAAAGCCCCGGGCUCAACCUGGGAAUGGCGAUGGAUACUGGCGGGCUAGAGUGCGGUAGAGGGUGGUGGAAUUCCCGGUGUAGCAGUGAAAUGCGUAGAGAUCGGGAGGAACAUCAGUUGCGAAGGCGGCCACCUAGACCAGCACUGACACUGAGGCACGAAAGCGUGGGGAGCAAACAGG